ACACUACGCCACGCCUGAGGUGAUCGCCGGCAUGGGCCGGCGGUUGAAACGGGAAUCCGGUGACGCCGUUCCACGCAAAUGGACGGCCAUUCCGGAGCUGCCCCCGCAACGGUAGGCGAGUAAGACGGACCGCAACGAAGCCACUGUGCCCACCGGCAUGGGAAGGCGCGGCCCGGGAAGAUCGGAGGAUCUUCGCUCGCGAGCCCGGAGACCGGCCUCGAGGCACGACCUGAC
rnacentral:ncRNA from 2 species